ACUGUUGUGGGUCUGGGUGAUGUGGGUGACGAUCGGGCCGUAGAGAUCUUUUAAAUGCUGUAGUUGUUUUAUAAAUUGUCUUGAGCAAUAAGGGGACAAAGAAAAAAGACCAGGGAGGUGAGAACUGGAUUCGUCCAAGCGAAAUGAAGUGCUUACUGAGGGGGAAAACCUGGGAAAACCCGUAAGAAUUCAUGUCAUAAACACUUCUCCUGCAUUGACACCCUUAGAGCAUGACCCAGCAAACUGUACGGAAAGUACAAUCUCUACCAAAAAAAUAAACUUUGUUUCCAAACUGAACUAUGUAAUGGGAAAUAAGGCUGGAAAGUGGGCCAGAAAUGGGCACAGAAGAGAGAAAGAACAUAUUGUGGAGGAAAGCAAAGCUCUGGAUGGUGACCGUUCAGGCUUGGAAAGAGUGCGCAAAAAGGUGAUGAAGAGAAAAAGAAUGAUUGCAGUGGAGGUGUAGCUCCUUAUGUAGCAUCUGAAUUGCAUCCUUCAGACCCCCAAGAGUUGAGAGAUUUUACAAGCCCCUUGUCAAAUAGAGGCAAACAUGAAGAGGAGCACUGCAGUAGUCCUGCUCAAAUCUUCGCUGGUGAUAAUGCAGAAGUCCCAGACAAAGGGCUAACACUUGAAAUGUAGACUUGGGAUCUUUUUAGGUGGCAAUUUGACCUCUUAUUAAUUCCAGCUGGUUUAAUUGAUACCAAAAUUUUGUCCCUGGGAACAAGUUAAGAGAGGCAUCGUUAAUUUUGACUUCAUGUCGUGUGUUGCUUUUUUAUUUCAUAACUCACGCAAUAUCACAUUGCGUUUGUGCUUGUAACCUACGAAAGGUCAAGAGGGAUUCCUUAAGCAACAGUCACCCUCCAACCCUCCACAACUUGGAACUCAGGGAAAGCACCAACCAGAGACCAAUGGGAAGGAAGAUUCUGCAGCUGUUAAUAGGAAAGAUUGGGCUGUAAAAGACCUUUCUUAUGGUGUUUACAGCAAGAUAUGUACAAAACUUAACAUUGGACGUGACUUUUUUGAUGAUUUCCGAAUGAUAGCAGAAAAGCUUGGCAUGAGUAGCGACGCGAUUGAGUUCGUGGGGCAAGGUAGAAAUCCAACUGACAAGAUUUUUGUUU